AGCUCAAUGGUAAAGUACCCUGGGAUUCAAUCUCUAGCCUAAAAGGAAAAGAAGAGGAAGGUCGAGGUUUGAUCCCAGAGGUCUUCAAUGUCAGGCCAAGGWCAGGAAACGCUGCUGAGAUAGCUCCAGCAGUCCCCGGGCAGAGCUGGAGGGGUGGAACUGAGGUCCCCUCUCAUGCCCCUUCUCCUGUCCAGGGAGGAGUGCCUACCACCGGCCAGCCAAGCGGAGCAGUGCAGCGCCCUGUCCCCCAGCCUGAGGUGCAGUGCUGCAUCUCUGGUCAGUUGGGAGUCUGAGAUGAAGCACUGUAGCUCGGGAAGGGAGAAGUUGUUCUGCAGCCAUCAUCCUGGAAGCGGUCCUGUACUAUCCCAUUUAACAAUGAAGGAAAGCCAGGGCUCAGAAGUUAAGUGAUUUGCCAGGGGUCAUCGGUGAGGAAAUUGCCAGAGACUGGGAACUCCAUCUGCCCAAUUGAGACUGGGAUCUGGGUUGCCAAAUGUUUCUGAUGGACAUCGUCAGUCUGGGUUUGAUGACAGGGAAGGUACUUUCCAGGGCUCUUGAAGUUCCAGUCACUACUCUUCCCAGAGCAAUGGGCUGCAUCCUGUGAGACAUGGCACCCACACUAGCCGCUGCCGCCAUGGCUGGAUGCGGAAGAAAACCCCAGCUGGCCUGUAGGGACAUGGCAGCCUUGGUUCUGAAGGCCACUCACUCUCUCCCACCUUGUCCUCACGGUCCAGUUUUCCCAGGAAUCCCUUGGAUGCUAAGAUGGGGAUUCCUGGAAAUACUGUUCUUGAGGUCACGGUUUAGCAGCUGGAUUCACCUCCCUCCCACCCUAGCAGUGUCCCGUGGGAUGAGGGUCAAGGAGAAGGUCAUGCACUGGAGGUAAGAGGGCUUGUGAACUAUGUUCUUGACCUUUAAGUUGCUUUUCUUUCCACUGUGUCCAUUUCGUAACAUCCCUGUGAGGCUGGAUGUGGGAACUUCAGCAUUGUCGCACUCUGGAGAAGCUUGUUCCAAGUCACACAGCCGAGCAGUGGUUGAACCAGGACACCAGGAGGCAUGAGUUCUUCCCCAUCCCUCCCCACCCUCCCCCACUUCCCUGCAGGGCUUGCGAUAGGAACGACAGUAUCGUAUCCACGUUACUGAGAAACUAAUACAUGCACGUGAAUUUAUUUUAAAAGUUUAUUAAAUCAGUUAGGUAAACUGCAAACCAUAAGGCUUAAUUUCAUUUGGAAAGCAGCCACAGAAAAAUGGAAAAAAAAAAUUUAAUUAGAGAAAACAAGACUCAGGACGCCCUCUUGUGGUGCUUCUACUCACUGCAGUGCCCUGAGACCAUCCUACACACCCUACCACUAAAGCUACUUCCUCAGCCCUUUUCUUCUAAAAUUUUGAGAGAGUCUUGCUAAUUCUCAGAGUCUGGCCUAGAGCUUGUGCCUCAGCCUCCUGAGUAGCUGGGUUAUAGGCAUCACCACCAUGCGCAGCCCUAAUCAGUUGAGCCACUUAUAUCUUAUUUACCACUUUGCUACCUACCAAGCAGCCAUCAUUUACAGUUCACUUUUUAUUCCAAUGCCCAGUUUCAUCCUCAAAGUUCCACUAAGGUUAGUAGGGUCAGUGAGGUUGAGAGGUAAAGUGACCAGSCCAAGGUCACCCAGACAGCCAGAGGCAGAGAAAGCACAGAUUUCAAGUUCUGUGGCCUCUGUCACUGUUUYAGCCAAAGCAAAAACUACAAAACUAAAAGAGACUGCCUCCCCCACUACRUAGAGGGAAUGCUAACUAAAUAAAUGCCCAAAUCCUAAACUAGAACUUUCCCCAAACUCUUUCUAGUGCUUUUUAUGGAUUUGGUAGAGAUAACUGUCAUGGCCCCAGAAAUCUCAUUUUGGGGUCUGAUGGCCACAUUCCCAGGGACCAGGUUGUUCCCACAAAUGUCCCAGGCUGUGUUCCUAACAGGCUAUGUUGUAGAUCUUUAGGAAAUAAGACUCAUACAUGGAGACUGGGGCAGCCUGACCAUAGGAAUAUCAGAUUUGCUAGUAAAAAUAGCAAUAAUGGCUUCCCCUUUUGACUGUUCAUAACUCACCAGGGACUGAGCCGAACAUGUGUGCAAGCCUGGUCUCAGUUCUCCCGGCAGCCCACUGAAGUCAGUUCUACUACUUAAUUCAUAGACAAAGAGAUCCAAGGCUGAGAAAGGUCGAGAGAUUUAGCAGAGACCACCCAUGGUGAAGCUGGCAUCAAAUCAAGUCUGUGUUUCUGCUUUUAACCAUGACAUGUGGUCCCCCAUCCCCACUUGUCCUGGUUGGUGGGGCUCUGUGCUGGGGAGGCUUACCCUUUGCUGAAACCCAAGUGACCUCUCCUGUGCUAUGUGGCUGUAAUAAAGUGCUGAACUCUU